rnacentral:rRNA from 1 species
GGUUUGUUAUUGCAGCUAAGAUUUUAAGAUAACUGAGUAGUAAUAGUGGAUACAAAACAUUAUUAGAUUUAGUAAGGGUGAUUGAAAUUUAAUGUUUUGCGUGGGUGUAGUACUGUGAAGGAAAAACUGGAAACUGUAAAUUAGAAGUGGUUAAAACUUGUACCUUUUGCAUCAUGGUUUAGCUAGAUUAGCUUCUGAAUAGAUGGUCUCGAAACCUAGUGAGCUAUCUUUGUUCCGGUUUAUAGAUCGUGAUGAUGGGUUGGUUGUGGCAAAAACCUCCUUAGAACCAAAGAUAGAUAUGAAAUUUUAUUCGCAUUGGGUGAUAGCUAGUUCUUCUUGAAAGGCAUAUUAGUGCUCUGAGCUAUGGACCUAACAAGGCGGAACAAAGUUUGCGAUUGUUUAUGGUGGUUCAGUUAGGCUUUCGAGGAUAAGCUCGAGAGCGGUUUAAGUUUGCAUUUAAUUUUUCUUGAAAUAUAAGCUUAGUAAUGGCUAUUUACAGGGAUUUUGUUAUAAUUCAUUUUUUAAUUAUUAAUAUGAUUUAUAUGCUUAGUUAGUAUAAAGAAGAGAUUUUAAGAAUUUGGUUAUAAAAUGUUUUUAUGCUAAAAUGAGUAUUGUUUAAUGUGGUAAGUUGUUAACGGGUUAAAAGUUAGCAUUUAUGAAUUUAAUAUCAGGGCAAAAUCAUAAAAAGGAACUCGGCAAAGACGUAUUCUGCCUGUUUAUCAAAAACAUGGCUUUGUGUGGAGGUUAAGAUACGAAGUCGGGCCUGCCCAGUGAGUUUUAAACGGCCGCGGUACUCUGACCGUGCAAAGGUAGCAUAAUCAUUUGCCUUAUAAUUGAAGGCUGGAAUGAAUGGUUUGACAAGAAUACAGCUGUCUCUUUUAGAUUACUUAGAAUUUUAUCUCUGAAUGAAAAAGUUCAGAUAUAAUUAAAAGACAAGAAGACCCUAUCGAGCUUUAGAGGAGCUAGUAGAUUUAAUAUUAGUUAAUAUUAGUAAAAGACAAGUCUACUAAAAACUUUGGUUGGGGCAACCGAGGAGCAUAAAAAGCCUCCUUUAAAUUUAUAGCCUUACUUGUGUUGAUCCAGAGUUUCUGAUCAAAGGAAUUAGUUACCGUAGGGAUAACAGCAUUAUCUUUUUCAAGAGCCCAUAUCGAAAAAAAGGUUUGUGACCUCGAUGUUGGACCAGAAUGUCCUAAAGAUGCAGACGUCUUUAAGGGUUGGUCUGUUCGACCAUUAAAAUUCUACGUGAUCUGAGUUCAGACCGGCGUGAGCCAGGUCAGUUUCUAUCUUUAUAUUUUUUGGCUAUGUUUAGUACGAAAGGACCAAUGUAGUGUAUAAGAUGCUUGGAUUAGAUUAGAUAUAAUUUGUCUUUAAG